rnacentral:rRNA from 1 species
AUGGCUUGCGAAGUCCACGCCGAGAUGGAUCUUCAUUUGCUUUUUAAGCUAGCAGGAGGGGCAGUUCAAGAUGAUGCAGCCGACCAAGCAGCCUGCCAAGAGGGUUUCGCAGUAAGUGGUGCAACCCAUGUCGCUGCUGCUUGCGCACCUGGCCUGGCACUCCUUGACAUCGGCCCUGGCGACGCAGCCGCCCGCGCACGUCGUGACGCAGCCUGUAAGGUCUGCCGCCGCCUGCACCCCAGAGCUCAGGAAGAGCAGGGCAGCAACCAGGAUGGCGACCUUGAGAGUGGAGGCCAUUUGGUCGAUGAUGUAUAUGAGCAAGGAAGUUAA